AGGGCCGACGUGAACUUAAGGAUAGAUGGGUGCCACGGGCUAGGAGGUGGUUAGUACCUAGGGUAGGGGACGAGGGGGAGGGGGAAGGGGAAACGAGGGGAGGAGGGAAGGCGCCUGGGGUCCCGCGGGACUCCGUGGCAUUCCUUCCCCUCUCCCUUGCCUCCUCCUCCUCCUCCUCCUACCCCCUAUCCUUUCCCUCCUAUCCCCUCAGCUAACCAUCCGGCACAAUCCUACCCUCACUUGCCAGCCACUCCUUCACUCCCCUUUCUCCGUUUGCCUUUUUCUUCCCCCUCACUUUUCUUUCUCCCUCUCUCUCUUCGUCCUCCCUAUAUCUCCUUUCUACUCACCGUUCCCCCCUCUCUCCCCUCACCUCUCCUGCCUUCACCUCUCCUGUCCUCACUGCCUCACACCCUCCCCUCACUGCCUCACACUCUCCCCUCUUAUGCUGCUGAUUACACCGUCUGUUUGUGUGUUUAUACAUUCCAAGCAGCGGAGCCUCAGGGUAUUUGUUCUUCAACACUGUUACUGUGUGUGUACUCACCUAUAUGUGGUUGCAAGGGUUGAGUCACAGCUCCUGGUGUGUGUGUGUGUGUGUGUGUGUGUGUGUGUGUGUGUGUGUGUGUGUGUGUGUGUGUGUGUGUGUGGUUAUAGCUAUAGAAUUGGGUGUGGUAAUUUGGUAGACUGAUAGUUUCGGUGUGGUAGUUUGAGAGGUUGGACGCAGUAGUGUGGUAAUUUGAUAGCUUGGGCGUGGUAGUUUGAUAGUCAGGGCAUGGUAGUUUGAAAUAUUGGAAGCGGUAGAGUGAUAGGUUGGGUAGUCUGAUAGUGUGGAAACCAGUGAGUAGGAAGCUUGUGGCUUGCGUCCGCCAGACCUGCCCUUGUUAAUCAGCUGGGUAUGGUUGCUAUUUACAACCCGCCCGGCUAAGAUUCCCUUUAAUUUUCACGUGCAUCUCUCACAGAUUCCGCAUUACUCGGGAACAACACAAAGAAAAAACUCUGCUAUCGCCCGACCAAGACAGCCAGUGGCACAUCUCUUUGUUAAAUUAUUAACUGGUGUGUGUUAAAAGACGCGAAAACCAGAUCUCGCUAACAGUGAUGGCGCCACACUUGCCUCAGGCUGCUGUUACCACCUGCCAGAGAUCGCACACUAACUCUCAUUUAUCACCUUAUCUUUCCACUCCUUUCUCUUUAAUCUUCCAUUAGGGUGUAUCUGUAACUAAGCUGUCUAUUGGCACAUGGUGGUAGAGGAAGAGAUGGCACCGGGGUGGUAUAGUUAGUAAAAAAGCGGAGUGAUGCGAGCAGUGGUAGCAUAGGGGUGGAGGCGGCGUCUAGCUGACAGGCGUUGGUGGUGGUGCUGGUGGUAGUAGUGGUGGUGCUGGUGGUGGUGGUGGAGUCUGGUUGGGAUGGUGUUGGUGGCCUGACCUGCUGCUCUCCUUCACUCCGGGCUCGCCCAUAUAUACCCCAGCCACCGCCGCUAAUGUCAUUCGGUAUUCAUCAAGUUGACUCGUACGCCGGUGGUGUGAUUUCCUUCAUCUUGGAAGUGUAGCUAGCGUGAUAAAGAUGAUUGAAAAUGUCAGCGAAGACGAGGAGCAAGAUGAUGGUAGAAGGAUAAGCAGCAGCGAGGAUGGCGGUGGGUUCCUACACUCUAGGAUGAAGGAUGCUGCGGAUGAUGAAGUGUUGCAGAUCUUGAUAAUGAUGAUCAUAAAGAUAGACUUGUGUUACUGAUAAUAAUGAAGAUAGUGAGACUUGUGUUACUGAUAAUAAUGAAGAUGGUGUUGCUGAGGAUGAAGAUAGACUGCUGGCGAGGGUGAAGAUAAACUUGCAGAAGAUGAAGACACGGUGUUGUUGAGGAUGAAGACGGUGUUGUAGAUAAGAUACACCAGAGGAUGAAGCCAGAGGGUGUUCCUGGGGGUGAUGAAGGUGGUGGUGUGUGUGUUAGACAGUCGGGUCACUCACUCAACUUGGAUGUGAUGUGCUGCCCCUCCAUCACAACCUCCUUGAGUGAGUGACCUUCCUGCCACCACCGUCGUCCUGCCAUCACGGUGCCAUCCUUCACUGCCACCACCGUUGCCCUACCAUCACGCCGCCAUCCUUCGCUGCCACCGCUGUUGCCCUACCAUCACGCUGCCAUCCUUCACUGCCAUCACCGUCGCCAUACCACCCCGCUGUCAUUUUUCACUACCGCUACACCUGCCUCUCGUCGACUGUCACAUCGCCUGCCAACAUGACUGCUGUCUUUAAUAAGUGCCCUUAAUCUGCUGCUUGUAGGCCGGCCAGCAUUCUGCCAACACGUUGUCACCGUUACCACCACUUGUAGCUGGGGGUCAUUUCCCCCCCACAGCUACCGCUUACCACCCCCAAACUAGAGUGGCUAGCAUCACCACCACCUUCAGCUACUACCAGCAUUACUCAAGGCUUCCGGUUCUCCUUUUCCAGAAUGGACAAGCUGAAAUAAUGGGGCACUAAAAGACCAAAUGCAUAGAAAAGAGGAUCAGAUAAGUCAGAUGGGUAUGUUUAAGUUACUAAAAUAUAUUAAGAUCAAUGGUAAAGGUUCUUGGUUACUGAGGACAGAGACUGGUGAAAAAAAAGAUGUUCCCACUUAAAUGAACUCAAACCACUUGAUUAAUUAGGAUCAAGAAAUGUGUUUAAGUUUUAAAGAAAUGGUUUGUUUUUCCCUGAUGGUGAGGGGCUCUUGAUGCAAGGAAUUGGAACUGGCCUCUUCAUAUGAUCGAACUGGAUUACUAUCCAUUUCCCAGGUGUUGUGUGACCCGUGCGUAUUUAGUGCUUCCUGAUAAUGUUAAAAUAAUAUAUUUUGUGUUUACUCGAAGAUGCAAAUAAAAUUACAGUGUUA